rnacentral:rRNA from 1 species
GCGCACGGUGGAUGCCUUGGCACUAGAAGCCGAAGAAGGACGUGACUAACGACGAAAUGCUUUGGGGAGCUGUAAGUAAGCGCUGAUCCAGAGAUGUCCGAAUGGGGGAACCCACUAGUUAAUGACUAGUAUCCAUAUCUGUUAAGGAUAUGAGAAGGAAGACGCAGUGAACUGAAACAUCUAAGUAGCUGCAGGAAGAGAAAGCAAAAGCGAUUGCCUUAGUAGCGGCGAGCGAAACGGCAGGAGGGCAAACCGAAGUGUUUACACUUCGGGGUUGUAGGACUGCGAUAUAGGAUUAAUCAUUAUAGAAGAAUUACCUGGGAAGGUAAGCCAAAGAGAGUAACAGCCUCGUAUUUAAAAUGAUAGAUUAACCUUAGCAGUAUCCUGAGUACGGCGAGACACGCGAAAUCUCGUCGGAAUCUGGGAGGACCAUCUCCCAACCCUAAAU